CCAUUCCCCUUCUCUACCCUCCAAAAUAAAACUCCCAAACAAGGUUAAAAUGAAAUUUCCCUUCCCUUCCCCCUCUCUACCCUCCAUCCAAUCAGGCCAUUACUUUCUCUCCAUUUCUCUUUUGGAUCUGCUUUGCUCUGAUCUCAAGAGGAGAUAAUCAUGCCGUCGGAAAAGAGCAGCGUAUCCAUCGCAACCAGAAAGCUGAGUUGAAGCAGCAGCCAGCGAAAGUGAAGGAUCUAAAAUCGUUCUUCGUGUUCAAGUUCAGGACGGCGUUUGGCGGAGGGAAGUCCACCGGAUUUGGUCUUAUUUAUGAUUCCGUCAGAGAGCGCGAAGAAGAAUGCGCCCAAGUAUCGGCUCAUCAGGAAUGGCCUGGCCACUAUGGUUGAGAAAUCAAGGAAGUAGAUGAAAGAAAGGAAGAACAGAGCAAAGAAAAUCCGCGGAGUUAAGAAG